AUUGAACGCUGGCGGCAUGCCUUACACAUGCAAGUCGAACGGCAGCACGGGUGCUUGCACCUGGUGGCGAGUGGCGAACGGGUGAGUAAUAUAUCGGAACGUACCUUAUCGUGGGGGAUAACGCAGCGAAAGCUGUGCUAAUACCGCAUAAGCCCUAAGGGGGAAAGCAGGGGACCGUAAGGCCUUGCGCGAUUAGAGCGGCCGAUACCUGAUUAGCUAGUUGGUGAGGUAAAGGCUCACCAAGGCAACGAUCAGUAGCUGGUCUGAGAGGACGAUCAGCCACACUGGGACUGAGACACGGCCCAGACUCCUACGGGAGGCAGCAGUGGGGAAUUUUGGACAAUGGGGGCAACCCUGAUCCAGCAAUGCCGCGUGAGUGAAGAAGGCCUUCGGGUUGUAAAGCUCUUUUGUCAGGGAGGAUGGUAGAGCAGGUUAAGAGCUAGCUUUGCUGACGUUACCCGAAGAAUAAGCACCGGCUAACUACGUGCCAGCAGCCGCAGUAA
rnacentral:rRNA from 1 species